AACGAACGCUGGCGGCAGGCUUAACACAUGCAAGUCGAGCGCCCCGCAAGGGGAGCGGCAGACGGGUGAGUAACGCGUGGGAAUCUACCCAUCUCUAUGGAAUAACGCAUGGAAACGUGUGCUAAUACCGUAUACGUCCUUCGGGAGAAAGAUUUAUCGGAGAUGGACGAGCCCGCGUUGGAUUAGCUAGUUGGUGGGGUAAAGGCCUACCAAGGCGACGAUCCAUAGCUGGUCUGAGAGGAUGAUCAGCCACACUGGGACUGAGACACGGCCCAGACUCCUACGGGAGGCAGCAGUGGGGAAUAUUGGACAAUGGGCGCAAGCCUGAUCCAGCCAUGCCGCGUGAGUGAUGAAGGCCCUAGGGUUGUAAAGCUCUUCCACCGGUGAAGAUAAUGACGGUAACCGGAGAAGAAGCCCCGGCUAACUUCGUGCCAGCAGCCGCCGUAACAC
rnacentral:rRNA from 1 species